UGCAGGCGAAACGUCAGGAGAAGAUGCUGCGAGGCCGCAAACCACGCAACACCCCAGUGGCUCCGACCCUCCCCUUCACAUCCCUCAUGGAGUGGGUGUGGCCAUCAUCUGAAGCCCCUCCCCCAAAUGUGGACCCCUUACCCCCCCACACAGGAUCACGGAGACGUCCAAGGUGUCGAUGACUGGCCGCCCAGAGCCCGGCUACGAGAACAUGGACCGCUUCGUCGUCAACGUGGACCACGUGGCCGAGAUGCUGCGGACCAUCCAGUUCCUCCCAGAAUCCACCGGGGAGGAGGCCGAAGCGGAGGGACUGGGACCGGAAGGAGGAGGGGGCGACGCGGGAGAGGAGGGACCCCCGGAAGGCACGAGGCCACCGAGGCCACGGAAGGUCAGCAUUGAGGAUCAGCAGCAGGAGACCCCCCGACUGGCCGGACCCAUCCCCACAGCGUGAACCCCCUCCCCAUAUUUUUACAUGACCCCCUCCUCAUCCCUUGCUGGCUUUGCAGAGAAUAAAGAGUGCGGUGUCUUUCCUGAGGUGACGUCCAUCCGUCCUACUUGGGAUUCCUCCUUCGAGACCACCGCUGUGGCCCAGGGUGAUGGCACCACGACCGCUGUCCUUCACAACAUCUUGAGCCUUCUCGGCCGAAAAUGACCCAAUGUGUCACAAAACUACAACUCCCAAGGGUCCUGUUUUGGAUUAGGUGAAGUUUUGCUUUGCUGGUGGAGGUAGAAAGGUCACCCGCCUUUUAUAAAAUACCGAACCUGAGCAUCGCUGGGCAUCUAAACUGGUCUAUAAAUCCCAAACUGGUUUUCAAUGGGGUGCUCCAGCCUGAAGCAGUUGCAAAGGAGGUUGUUCCCAGUCAUAGAAUCAUAGACUCAUAGAUCAUAGUUGGAAGAGACCUGGUGGUCCACCCAGUCCAACCCAGUUCUGUCAAGAAGCAGGAAAAUCUCAUUCAAAGCCCCCCCCAACAGAUGGUCAUCCAGCCUCUGCUUAAAAGCCUCCAAGGAAGGAGCUUCCACCACACUCCGAGGCAGUGAGUUCCACUGCUAAACAGCCCUUCUUAUACUCAGGAAGUUCCUCCUCAUGUUGAGGUGGAAU
rnacentral:lncRNA from 11 species